GGGGUUCGUGGUUAAGCUCUACACCCUUUGUGACAUACCUAUAACUGUUGCUUCGGCGGGCAGGGUCUCCGUGACCCUCCCGGCCUCCCGCCCCCGGGCGGGUCGGCGCCCGCCGGAGGAUAACCAAACUCUGAUUUAACGACGUUUCUUCUGAGUGGUACAAGCAAAUAAUCAAAACUUUUAACAACGGAUCUCUUGGUUCUGGCAUCGAUGAAGAACGCAGCGAAAUGCGAUAAGUAAUGUGAAUUGCAGAAUUCAGUGAAUCAUCGAAUCUUUGAACGCACAUUGCGCCCGCCAGCAUUCUGGCGGGCAUGCCUGUUCGAGCGUCAUUUCAACCCUCAAGCUCUGCUUGGUGUUGGGGCCCUACAGCUGAUGUAGGCCCUCAAAGGUAGUGGCGGACCCUCCCGGAGCCUCCUUUGCGUAGUAACUUUACGUCUCGCACUGGGAUCCGGAGGGACUCUUGCCGUAAAACCCCCAAUUUUCCAAAGGUUGACCUCGGAUCAGGUAGGAAUACCCGCUGAACUUAAGCAUAUCAAUAAGGCGGAGGAA
rnacentral:rRNA from 1 species